rnacentral:rRNA from 1 species
AGUGUAGGCGGCUACCUAAGUCGGAUGUGAAAGCCCCGGGCUCAACCUGGGAAUUGCAUUCGAAACUGAGUAGCUAGAGUUUGGUAGAGGUAAGUGGAAUUCCGGGUGUAGCGGUGAAAUGCGUAGAUAUCCGGAGGAACAUCAGUGGCGAAGGCGGCUUACUGGACCAAAACUGACGCUGAGGCUCGAAAGCGUGGGGAGCAAACAGGAUUAGAUACCCUGGUAGUCC